CUGUUUUGAUUGUUUCUCUGGUGAAAGUAGACGACCCAUAUAGGUACUAUACGUGGACUGUCAGUUAUGGAACUCGUUCUCCUUUGGGUGUCCCCCAGCAGGUAAUCCUUAUCAAUGAUCAGUUUCCUGGACCUAGACUCGAGGUGGUGACUAACGACAACAUCAUCCUCAACCUCAUUAACAAGUUAGACCAGCCAUUUCUGUUGACAUGGAAUGGUAUUAAAUAAAGGAAGAACUCAUGGCAAGAUGGAGUAUUGGGUACCAACUGCGCUAUCCAACCAAACUCGAACUACACUUACAAGUUUCAAACCAAAGAUCAGAUUGGGUCCUACACAUAUUUAAAGA